UGGGGGAUAUUGCACAAUGGGCGAAAGCCUGAUGCAGCGACGCCGCGUGGGGGAUGAAGGCUUUCGGGUUGUAAACCUCUUUCGCUAUCGAACAAGGCCCGCUUAGGGUGGGUUGAGGGUAGGUGGAGAAGAAGCGCCGGCUAACUACGUGCCAGCAGCCGCGGUAAUACGUAGGGCGCGAGCGUUGUCCGGAAUUAUUGGGCGUAAAGGGCUUGUAGGCGGCUUGUUGCGCCUGCUGUGAAAACGCGGGGCUUAACUUCGCGCGUGCAGUGGGUACGGGCAGGCUUGAGUGUGGUAGGGGUAACUGGAAUUCCAGGUGUAGCGGUGGAAUGCGCAGAUAUCUGGAGGAACACCGAUGGCGAAGGCAGGUCACUGGGCCAUUACUGACGCUGAGGAGCGAAAGCAUGGGUAGCGAACAGG
rnacentral:rRNA from 1 species